CAUCACUGCUCAUGAGCAUCACACUUUUAUGUGUGAACGUCUAAACAGGCUGAAAAAGGCUGUCGGAGAAAAUCAAAGGGCAACGGAAAUGUGAGGGUAUCUGAGGAGACGUUCUGUUCCAGAUACCCUCGCGUGAUCAAUAGCACGUUUCUGUGCUCAACUCUACAUGUUCCUCCAGCCUACGUAGCAUUUCCACGAUCUAGGAACUUUUUCAUCGAUCGGGGCUUUUUUUUUUUUUACUCUAAGCACACAUUCUCAUAUUUUUCAUUCAUUCGUCCAAUUUUUGGUUUUUGUUCACUUGUCCCUCUCUGACAAUGUCACCCAAUGACAAAUACCCAAUUUAGUGACCAAGUCACUUACAAUUCUACAUGUGGACAUUUUUUUUUAGAGAGCAUUCACACAAUCAGACAGACGAAUAUUAACACAUACUCUUGGAUCUUAAAAUUGUAAGGCGACUCCCUUUCACCCCCUCCUUCUCCCUCCCUCCAUUCCUCCAGACCCUGGGCACCUCAUUAUGGAGGGGCGCUCCACUGCCACCCAUCAGAGAUGGAGCCCUCUGCCCAGCUCUGGGUCAGCCGGUACCAGGGGCCAGCACUGACCUCUGGUUGAACUCUGACCCCGCAUUCCUACGAGGAGUUCAGUGGGUUUCCAAGUGCCCACCUGGAGAGGAGCUGCUCCCGCCCCAGACCUCACGCAUUCAUCACUUCCCCAGGAGGCUGCAGGACUGCCAUCCCGUCACACGUCACAGGAAGAUGGAUUUUUUAUUAUGAAGUGAUAUUUGUGCCUGUCAACAUGACAUGGAAACCUAGAGAAAGAGGGAACUGAACAACAGGCGGAUAAAUGGAGAGAGAAGGAUGGCCUGGCUGCUCCCCUGACGGGUGUGGAUGAAUGGGCUCCGCAGCUGCCUGGAGUCAACUUACGACAAGAUUCUCCACUAUUGUGAGGAUCUUUGUCCCUCCAAAGCCACCACAAUAGGAUGUCCCCCAUUGGCCAAAGGAUAAAUAUUGCCUGUUCUCAAGGCAAAGGCAUUGGACAGAUUGAAUUGGCCCUAAAUGGAAAUCAAUGCUGUACUAUGGGGCCGAAUUGCGGAUGUUGACUGCCGUCCCCAGUGAGGAGCACGGGUGUUUACAUUAAUGGCAAGACCGGCACAAUCGUGCAGAACCUGAAAGGUCAGGUAGGGCCAUGUUUACUUCAAGGUUUGCACCGACAAAUAGGAAAAAUAGGAAAAAUCGUGUGUAGGUCAUUCAAGCUCAUGGGCAAUGUCAACUUAAUUUUCUCUGUUUCCUCAAAGGAUUCUUAAUCAUAUGUUUUUUUUUUUCCUGAUCAAUAGUUUUUUUUACUGUUGAAUUGGCAAAUUGGCACUGAUUAAAAAGAAAAAAUGUGCAGAUGCCCCAAAUUUCAAGGGAAUCAGAGGAACUCAUUUGAAGGGUUACUGUAAGUCAGUAAAAGCUUUGAAUGAUCUCCUUUAUGCACAGAUGAAACACCUGAAGAGAGCACUGUCUUCACAUAAUUAUUCUGUGACAACCUCAAGGCCCACCGAGAGCAAUGAAAGUGACCAUACAAAAACAGAAGGCAGACACUAAAAAUAAAAAAUAUGAAUGACAAUACA
rnacentral:lncRNA from 1 species